rnacentral:lncRNA from 1 species
AAGAAGGCAGUGUUCAGGCCCCUUGGCUGUCUCUGUAGAAAUGGUGGCAGUAGGGAAGCAAGUCAAAAGGGAGAUUAUUAUGGCUUUAAGAGUUAUUUUUAAAGUUUUCAAUUUCACAUCAUUUUUAAAUUUUAAUUUUCAAUAAAAUUCUAUAUGUUCAAUUAUAUAUGGUUUAGAAAUUAAAGCUAUUUCCGACUGUAGGGUCUCGUUUGCCAUGGGAUUUUCCCAAUUAUUCACAUCUUGUAGGAAUGUGGCACUUCUGUUACAAAUGAUUGCGGAAUACUGAUAUGCCACUAUGAAUUGAAGCCACAGUCUGUAUUAGGAUUCCUUCUGCUGUUUGUGGAGAGGAUAGCCCAUAGUAACAUCCUUGUCGUAACACACAGAACAUGUUCACACCUUCAAGUAUUUAUUCUACCUCUUGCCAUCACUCUGCCGCUGCCAGCCACUCCUCAUAUGUCCCAUCUCUAUAGCUUUCUUUUCAGCAUAUGGCAUGGCUAGAACCAGAGUGCCUAGCUGUUUUAUAAACACUUCUCCACAGAGUAAUAUGCAGUUAGAGGCCAUGCAUAUUGUUUUGUUGAUUGGUAGCUCAUUAAAAUGAACAGUGUUUUACUCUAUAAGUGUGUCAUAAAUUAUCUAUUUGUUUACUCCAAAGUUGCUUUAAAUUUAACCAAAGUGGCUAUGGAUAUUCCUUUUUUUUUUUUUUUUGCCUAGAUAUGUUUAAAUAUACCACAUGCAUACCUGGCUCCUCAUAAGGAACCUGUACAUCAUAAGAGGACAUCAGAUCUCUGGAGUUGGAGUUAUAGACAAGUAGGAGUCACCUCACUGUAUGUGAACUAGAAGCCAAACUCAGCUCCUAUGCAAGAAAAGCAAACACAUCUCCAGUCCAUUGCUAUAUACAUUCUUUAUAUACAUACAUUCUUUCUUUCACGUUUUCAGAUGAACAUAAGGGUUCAGUUCACUUAGUGCUGUAUUAGACUUUGUCACUGUCACCAAAAAUUAAUGGAAAGAAGAUCAAAGACAAAACGUUUAUUUUAGCUCACAGCUUCAGGGCUUUGGUCCAUGGUUGGCUGCUGCAUUGGCCAUGAAACAGGAACGUGACAGUAGAAGGGCCUGGUGGAUGAAAGCUGCUCAACUUUUAGAAGUGUGGAAGCAGACGGGACUUACAGCAAGAGAAAAAGCACAGCCCAGUGACCUCUUUCAGCUCACCUCCUAAAGUCUCCAGCACUUCCAACUAUCCCAAUGAUGCUACCCACUGAGACUACGCCUUUGGUGCAGGGAUCUCUAGGGGUUACUCUUGAUCUGAAUCAUAGCAGGUACCGACUUUCUUUUAACUAUCGCUGAAAUGAGGUAGCUAUUCAGUGUAUGUGUUAGGAUCAACACUAAACAACACGCCCUCCCAUGAAAGCCCCACCAUUGUUGCUGAAUGGCAGGUUAGUGACUAUUGAAUGUGGAGACAUGUGUUAGGAGAGUAUGAGGAUACCCUGGAAGGACAUUGAAAAAAUGACUUACAUUUGCUUGUUUAUUUGUAUGUAUGUAUGUAUGUAUGUAUGUAUGUAUGUAUGUAUGUAUGUAUUUAUGUUUGUGUGCACAUCUGUCAUGGCAUAUGUGUGGAAGACAGAGGGCAGGUUGUAGGAGUUAGAUCUCUCUUGUCAAGUUUGGCCCAACAUGCAGAGUCAUCUCACCAGCCAUGGGAGGCAUUUUACUCACAUUAAAAGUCAGAGAAGUAGAAACUAAAUGCUUAAGUCCUUAUGCAAGCUUAUUUAAUUCAAUGGUUAUAAAACCUUUUUAAAAAAGGAUUUAUUUAUUUAUGUGGUUUUGUGUGUGUGUGUGUGUGUGUGUGUAUGUGUAUGUGUGUGUGUGUGUGUGUGUGAAGCAUGUGCAGGUGCCCACGAGGCCGAAGAGAGUCAGAUCCCCUGGGGCUGGAAUUAUCAGAGGUUGUGAGCCACCUAGUAUGUAUGCUAGGAACCUAAGCAGGGUCUUCCGGAAGAGUGGCAAGCAUUCUGCACCUCUGAGUUCUUUCUAGCCCUCUAUAAACACUUUAAAUGCCUUGAUAAGUUUAAUAUGCUUGGUUCUCUUUAAGCAUUCAAAUGUUGUGAUUUUACAAACAGCACUCUUGGAGUUCUUAACCUCUUCUUAUAAACCUAAUUAAACACAUAUUUGAAAUGUAGCUCAUCUAAAGCACUUCAAUGUUGUGGGAAACUUUCAUAUGUUUCCAUUAAUCUGAAGUUUAACAUAAAUUAAAAUUACAAGCAUAGUUUCUUGACAUGUGAAACUUACAAGCAUAAUCAACACAACAUUAACUAACUACAAAAUUCUGUCCAAGUGAUUAUAUACUGAUUUUUAAACUUACCAUCGAAGGUUUAACAUAUUAUGGUUUUGAUUUGGAAUCACAAUGUUGCUGCUUAAAACCGAAUAUUCACAGUGUUCUUGUACCCACGGUGAUCUAGAGUGACUGCCAGUAAUGGUAGCCUGGUUUUAUGCAGUGAGGUAGGUGACUUGCAUAGCUAGAAGUCAGGACAAGGUGAUAGGUGCCAUUUGUGUCUAGUGUCAUGCUCUCCCCAAGGUUGGUAAGGGAUCAUUUGAUGUAGCCCUUGUCACUAAGGGCUUGCUCCUGCUCUGAAUCCUCGCCUUUGCUGUUUAAGACAGGUGCAUUUACCUUCUUUCAAGCAGUCUUUCCACCUUUUCAUUGAAUGACAUACUCUUUUUUUUUUUUAUCUCUCUUCCUAUUGGUGAGGUCUGAACUCUGUUUUCCAUGCUAAAAUGGCCUUCUCUUUGGCUUUAUAGCCCAUCAGCCUAUGCCUUUAGCCAGACUGUUCUCAAUAUUGUUUUUGAUUACUCAGCUCAGAUGAGGCUUGCCUUAGGACCUUCAGGUGUCUGUUGCCCCAUCCUCUCCUUUCUGACAUCACAUAUUAGAAUGUCCAUCUUUCACCUGUCAGUCACAGCUCUCUCAGCUCUCUCUGCUCAGGGUUUGCCUCUUCAAGCUUUCUCUAAUCACCUUUUCUGAUUUGUGCUUCCUCUUGUCAUCUUCCCUCUUUCUGACCUACUCCCAGGCAUUCUAUGGUCUCUUCACUAGAAAAUAUUGUCCUUACUGAUUACUGGCUUUCUUUCAAAUACUUUAUUUAUCAUACAGUUGUAUUGCAGUGACUUCAGCUUCCUGAUACUUGUUGGCACUAAUGUGUUCAGCAGCAUAUGAGUCAGAUGUACAUGUUGAGUGAAGAAAGAAUGGCUCCUAUUUAGAAGGAAAGCCCAGGGGAAAGCAGUGGAUUUACCUAUCUGUUUUAUAGCUGAAUGGUAGCACCUCUGCUAUACCAGGCUCUGAUACAUUCUGAAUGAAUGAUGGGCAGUUUUCUGUUUGGAACUCUGUGUGACAUUUCAAAUCCUCGUUUUAACUCUGUCUUAGUUAGUGUUUUAUUGCUCUGAAGAGACACCGUGACCAAGACAAUUUGUAUAAUGGUAAACAUUUAAUUGGGUCUGGCUUACAGUUUCAGAGGUUCAGUCCAUUAUCAUAAUAGUGAGGAAGCAUGGAAGUAUGCAGGCAGACUUGGUGUUGGGGAGCCAAGAGUUUUACAUCUUGAUCAGAGGGCAGCCAGGAGAAAACAGACCCUUCUGCAGGCAGCCAAGAGGAGGCUCUCUUUAACACGGGGUGGAGCCUGAGCUGAGAACCUCAAAAUCCAACCCCACAGUGUUGAAUUUUCCCUCACAAGGCCAUACCUACUCCACCAAGGCCACACCUCUAAAUAGUGCCACUUCCCAUGGGCCAAGUAUAUUCAAACCACAGAUUUAACUGACCAUGUUUUCUGCAUGAUGGAUAACUGAUCUUUCACCUCCCUUGCCCCAGUGAUAGGAUAGUCAAAGGAGUUUUGUAAGUUAUACCAAGAAGGCUGAGUUAAAGCAGCUGUGAUCACUCCCUUAGCCUGUUGGCUUGAUUUUUUUUCUUUUGUCUUACAUUUUUAUGUCAAGAAAAAAAACAGAAGACCAUUAUUGUAAGCAAAAAGCCAAGAAUAAGAUGGAAUACUUAAAAUGAUUGGAGGACUUAUCAUUGCUAAAGUAACUUGUCAUCUCUGGCAAAGAACUGACAUUAAACACUGCCAUUUAUAAAAUGAUUUUAUGUACAGAGUAAUUUAUAGUAAAACUCACAGUAUUUAAAGUAAGAUAAGUAUGUUCAAAAGGCAUAGACCUGGAAAUCCCUAAGUAAAAUUGCCUUUGAAAAAUAUCAG